rnacentral:rRNA from 1 species
GUCUGCUGUCAAAUCCAGGGGCUCAACUCCUGACCGGCAGUGGAAACUGAACAGCUAGAGUGCGGUAGGGGCAGAGGGAAUUCCCGGCGUAGCGGUGAAAUGCGUAGAGAUCGGGAAGAACACCGGUGGCGAAAGCGCUCUGCUGGGCCGCAACUGACACUCAGGGACGAAAGCUAGGGGAGCGAAUGGGAUUAGAUACCCCAGUAGUCCUAGCCGUAAACGAUGGAGACUAGGUGUUGCCUGUAUCGACCCGGGCAGUGCCGAAGCUAACGCGUUAAGUCUCCCGCCUGGGGAGUACGCACGCMAGUGUGAACUCAAAUGAAUUGACGG